rnacentral:snoRNA from 1 species
GGUGUAACUGAUGUAUCUGUUUAGUGACCAAAGCCUGGCUUACUGAUUAGUCAUAACUGACUGCGCC